GCCCGUUUGGCUUAGCGGUAAAGCGCAUCACUAGUAGAUUCCAAUAUCGGAAAUGAUGAGAUCCUAGGUUCGAUUCCUAGAACGGGCA